UUAAGCGACUAAGCGUACACGGUGGAUGCCCUGGCAGUCAGAGGCGAUGAAGGACGUGCUAAUCUGCGAUAAGCGUCGGUGAGGUGAUAUGAACCGUUAUAACCGGCGAUUUCCGAAUGGGGAAACCCAGUGUGUUUCGACACACUAUCAUUAACUGAAUCCAUAGGUUAAUGAGGCGAACCGGGGGAACUGAAACAUCUAAGUACCCCGAGGAAAAGAAAUCAACCGAGAUUCCCCCAGUAGCGGCGAGCGAACGGGGAGGAGCCCAGAGCCUGAAUCAGUGUGUGUGUUAGUGGAAGCGUCUGGAAAGGCGCGCGAUACAGGGUGACAGCCCGUACACAAAAAUGCACAUACUGUGAGCUCGAUGAGUAGGGCGGGACACGUGGUAUCCUGUCUGAAUAUGGGGGGACCAUCCUCCAAGGCUAAAUACUCCUGACUGACCGAUAGUGAACCAGUACCGUGAGGGAAAGGCGAAAAGAACCCCGGCGAGGGGAGUGAAAAAGAACCUGAAACCGUGUACGUACAAGCAGUGGGAGCCUCUUAAUGGGGUGACUGCGUACCUUUUGUAUAAUGGGUCAGCGACUUAUAUUCUGUAGCAAGGUUAACCGAAUAGGGGAGCCGAAGGGAAACCGAGUCUUAACUGGGCGUUAAGUUGCAGGGUAUAGACCCGAAACCCGGUGAUCUAGCCAUGGGCAGGUUGAAGGUUGGGUAACACUAACUGGAGGACCGAACCGACUAAUGUUGAAAAAUUAGCGGAUGACUUGUGGCUGGGGGUGAAAGGCCAAUCAAACCGGGAGAUAGCUGGUUCUCCCCGAAAGCUAUUUAGGUAGCGCCUCGUGAAUUCAUCUCCGGGGGUAGAGCACUGUUUCGGCAAGGGGGUCAUCCCGACUUACCAACCCGAUGCAAACUGCGAAUACCGGAGAAUGUUAUCACGGGAGACACACGGCGGGUGCUAACGUCCGUCGUGAAGAGGGAAACAACCCAGACCGCCAGCUAAGGUCCCAAAGUCAUGGUUAAGUGGGAAACGAUGUGGGAAGGCCCAGACAGCCAGGAUGUUGGCUUAGAAGCAGCCAUCAUUUAAAGAAAGCGUAAUAGCUCACUGGUCGAGUCGGCCUGCGCGGAAGAUGUAACGGGGCUAAACCAUGCACCGAAGCUGCGGCAGCGACACUAUGUGUUGUUGGGUAGGGGAGCGUUCUGUAAGCCUGUGAAGGUGGCCUGUGAGGGUUGCUGGAGGUAUCAGAAGUGCGAAUGCUGACAUAAGUAACGAUAAAGCGGGUGAAAAGCCCGCUCGCCGGAAGACCAAGGGUUCCUGUCCAACGUUAAUCGGGGCAGGGUGAGUCGACCCCUAAGGCGAGGCCGAAAGGCGUAGUCGAUGGGAAACAGGUUAAUAUUCCUGUACUUGGUGUUACUGCGAAGGGGGGACGGAGAAGGCUAUGUUGGCCGGGCGACGGUUGUCCCGGUUUAAGCGUGUAGGCUGGUUUUCCAGGCAAAUCCGGAAAAUCAAGGCUGAGGCGUGAUGACGAGGCACUACGGUGCUGAAGCGACAAAUGCCCUGCUUCCAGGAAAAGCCUCUAAGCAUCAGGUAACAUCAAAUCGUACCCCAAACCGACACAGGUGGUCAGGUAGAGAAUACCAAGGCGCUUGAGAGAACUCGGGUGAAGGAACUAGGCAAAAUGGUGCCGUAACUUCGGGAGAAGGCACGCUGAUAUGUAGGUGAAGCGACUUGCUCGUGGAGCUGAAAUCAGUCGAAGAUACCAGCUGGCUGCAACUGUUUAUUAAAAACACAGCACUGUGCAAACACGAAAGUGGACGUAUACGGUGUGACGCCUGCCCGGUGCCGGAAGGUUAAUUGAUGGGGUUAGCGGUAACGCGAAGCUCUUGAUCGAAGCCCGGUAAACGGCGGCCGUAACUAUAACGGUCCUAAGGUAGCGAAAUUCCUUGUCGGGUAAGUUCCGACCUGCACGAAUGGCGUAAUGAUGGCGAGGCUGUCUCCACCCGAGACUCAGUGAAAUUGAACUCGCUGUGAAGAUGCAGUGUACCCGCGGCAAGACGGAAAGACCCCGUGAACCUUUACUAUAGCUUGACACUGAACAUUGAGCCUUGAUGUGUAGGAUAGGUGGGAGGCUUUGAAGUGUGGACGCCAGUCUGCAUGGAGCCGACCUUGAAAUACCACCCUUUAAUGUUUGAUGUUCUAACGUGGGCCCCUUACCGGGGUUGCGGACAGUGUCUGGUGGGUAGUUUGACUGGGGCGGUCUCCUCCUAAAGAGUAACGGAGGAGCACGAAGGUUGGCUAAUCCUGGUCGGACAUCAGGAGGUUAGUGCAAUGGCAUAAGCCAGCUUGACUGCGAGCGUGACGGCGCGAGCAGGUGCGAAAGCAGGUCAUAGUGAUCCGGUGGUUCUGAAUGGAAGGGCCAUCGCUCAACGGAUAAAAGGUACUCCGGGGAUAACAGGCUGAUACCGCCCAAGAGUUCAUAUCGACGGCGGUGUUUGGCACCUCGAUGUCGGCUCAUCACAUCCUGGGGCUGAAGUAGGUCCCAAGGGUAUGGCUGUUCGCCAUUUAAAGUGGUACGCGAGCUGGGUUUAGAACGUCGUGAGACAGUUCGGUCCCUAUCUGCCGUGGGCGCUGGAGAACUGAGGGGGGCUGCUCCUAGUACGAGAGGACCGGAGUGGACGCAUCACUGGUGUUCGGGUUGUCAUGCCAAUGGCACUGCCCGGUAGCUAAAUGCGGAAGAGAUAAGUGCUGAAAGCAUCUAAGCACGAAACUUGCCCCGAGAUGAGUUCUCCCUGACUCCUUGAGAGUCCUGAAGGAACGUUGAAGACGACGACGUUGAUAGGCCGGGUGUGUAAGCGCAGCGAUGCGUUGAGCUAACCGGUACUAAUGAACCGUGAGGCUUAACCU
rnacentral:rRNA from 1 species